rnacentral:misc_RNA from 1 species
GUGAAUCAUCAAAUCUUUGAACGCAAAUUGCACUCUCCGGUUUUCCGGGAGAGUAUGCCUGUUUGAGGGUCAGCCUAAAAAAAAUCGACAUUGUUGCUGUUAUUUAAUGGUGACUUUCGUCGGAGAUUGGGUUAUCUUAAACCUUUUUUUUUUUUUGGUUUAAGCGACUUAAAAUUUUUUUUCCCGAUUACAUAAACUUUUCUAAGCAUUUUAUUUUUUAUCUUUUUAAGGUUUAUCGCUUUUUUAUUAGACGUGUCCGUCGCAUCGGA